rnacentral:rRNA from 1 species
UACAUGUGGGGCAAGCGUUGUUCGGAAUUACUGGGCAUAAAGGGUGCGUAGGUGGCUUGUUAAGUCAGGGGUGAAAGUUUUCGGCCCGACCGGAAAAUGGCCUUUGAUACUGGCGAGCUCGAGUGCGUGAGGGGUAACCGGAACGAGCAGUGUAGCGGUGAAAUGCGUAGAUAUUGCUCGGAAGGCCAACGGCGAAGGCAGGUUACUGGUGCGCAACUGACACUGAGGCACGAAAGCGUGGGGAGCAAACAGG